AGAAAUAAGCUAGCUUUAUAAAUUAGUGGGGUUGAUUAUUUUUAUAUAAAACAAUAUCAAGAAAAGUGUUUAGUACUGGGUAAAGAAUAAAUUAAGAAAGCAUUAAGGUUAAGUACCGUGAGGGAAAGUUGAAAUAAUUGAAAAUUCAUUCAGGGAAAAGUAGAUUUGAUGUCGUACCUUUUGUAUCAGGGUUUAUUAAAUAUGUGAGUUGAGACUUUAUUCUCGAUACAAAGAGGGCUAUAUGGGUAAUUUAUAUAAGGUAGCAAACUUAUUUGUAAUACCUUUAUAGUAACGAAAUGUUAGCCGAUCUUUGUGGUUUCUAGUUUCUUAAGAAAUGAAUUAAAUUCAGGGGUUUAUAGAAUUUUGAGUAAUUUGCUUGAAUUUUUAAUAAAUUCUAAUGGGUUGAGGGAUAAGCUUCGACUUAUUAUUAAAACCUUAAAAUCUAAGGAAAGUUGGUAGGCUUGAGAGUAGCCAUCACAGAAGAAUGUUAUAAUUUGCUUUCUUUCUUUUAAAUUUUAGUGGGGUUUAACUGACUAUUAAGAAAUCUCCUAAAACUUUAUAGGAGGGGUAUAAUGAUGAAAUAAGUAUAAAUACAAUAAUAUGUUAUUAAUUUUAGUAAGGAACUCGGCAAAAAUAAUGCUCGCCUGUUUAUCAAAAACAUCGCCUUUUGAAGGGAUAGAAGGUCUAACCUGCCCACUGAGGAAAUUAAAGGGCCGCGGUAUUUUGACCGUGCAAAGGUAGCAUAAUCAUUAGUCUUCUAAUUAAAGGCUGGAAUGAAUGGUUGGACGAGGUAUUAGCUGUCUCACUAAAAUUAUUUAGAAUUUAGCUUUUUGGUCAAAAGGCUAAAAUGAUGUUGGAGGACGAGAAGACCCUAUAGAUCUUUACGUUUUAUUAAUUUAAUUUGUUUAGUAAAGGUUUAAUUUUAUUAGGAAAACGUUUCGUUGGGGUGACGAGAAGACAAAUGUAACUCUUUUUAUAAUUUAACACUGAUGAGUGAUUAAUUGAUCCAUUUAUUAUGAUUAUAAGACUAAGUUACCUUAGGGAUAACAGCGUAAUCUUUUUUGAGAGUUCUAAUCGACAAGAAGGGUUGCGACCUCGAUGUUGGACUAAGGGUUAUUUUUGGGUGCAGCUGCUCAAAGUUUAGGUCUGUUCGACCUUUGAAUCCUUACAUGAUCUGAGUUCAGACCGGCGUAAGCCAGGUCGGUUUCUAUCCUCAAUUUAAUUAAAUAUUUUAGUACGAAAGGACCAAAUAUUUGAGAUAUUCUCUAGGAAUGAAUAAUAAUAAA
rnacentral:rRNA from 1 species